rnacentral:rRNA from 1 species
AUAACGGUCCUAAGGUAGCGAAAUUCCUUGUCGGGUAAGUUCCGACCCGCACGAAAGGCGUAAUGAUUUGAGCACUGUCUCGACAAUGCAUCCGGUGAAAUUGAAGUACCAGUGAAGAUGCUGGUUACCCGCGCCAGGACGGAAAGACCCCAUGGAGCUUUACUCCAGUUUGAUACUGGGAUUCGGUACUGCAUGUACAGGAUAGGUGGGAGACGAAGAAGGAUGGACGCCAGUCUGUCCGGAGUCGCUGUUGGGAUACCACCCCUGUAGUACUGGGUUUCUAACCAGUUGCCAUGAACUGGCAAUGGGACAAUGUCAGGCGGGGAGUUUGACUGGGGCGGUCGCCUCCGAAAGGGUAUCGGAGGCGCUCAAAGGUUCCCUCAGAAUGGUUGGAAACCAUUUGAAGAGUGCAAAGGCAGAAGGGAGCUUGACUGCGACACCGACGGGUGGAGCAGGUACGAAAGUAGGACUUAGUGAUCCGGUGGUAUAAAGUGGGAUUGCCAUCGCUCAACGGAUAAAAGCUACCCUGGGGAUAACAGGCUUAUCACUCCCAAGAGUUCACAUCGACGGAGUGGUUUGGCACCUCGAUGUCGGCUCAUCGCAUCCUGGGGCUGUAGCAGGUCCCAAGGGUUGGGCUGUUCGCCCAUUAAAGCGGUACGCGAGCUGGGUUCAGAACGUCGUGAGACAGUUCGGUCCCUAUCCGGCGCGGGCGGAGGAUAUUUGAGAGGAGCUGUCCUUAGUACGAGAGGACCGGGAUGGACGGACCACUGGUGUAUCUGUUGUCGACCAACGGCAUGGCAGAGUAGCCAAGUCUGGAAGGGAUAAACGCUGAAGGCAUCUAAGCGUGAAGCCCCCCUCAAGAUGAGAUAUCCCUCCUUCGGGAGUAAGACCCCUUGAAGACUACAAGGUAGAUAGGGCAGAGGUGGAAGCAUGGCAACAUGUGGAGCUGACUGUUACUAAUAGGUCGAGGGCUUAAUCUG